GUUUAUAUAAUUUAAAUAAGAUAUUAGACUGUGACUCUGAUUAUGAGAGUUAAAACCUCUNUAUGG
rnacentral:tRNA from 1 species